UUCCCAAAUACUGAAUUCUUACGUACACUGGAGGCAGAACAUAUGUGAGUGUCUCAGCUCAACAACAGAAGAUGAAGAACCUUCCUGUUACUGUAAUACAGCUUUAAGAAGUACUUCUACAGCAAUAGAACUGGAAUCCAGAGCAACUAGUUGCAGUAAAAUGCAUCUACUGCAGAAGACCUCAAUAAUGCAUAAGAACAUCUGGAAGUACGGUAAUUUCAGCUAUCAGAGAUAAGAAUUGACACAGAACAGGAAGACACACUUGAAAGUUUGGCAAGAGCUCAGAGUGGAAGGAGGAGAGAAACUGAGAAAUUUCACUUCAGAUCGAGGCAAAGUCAACUGUUGGAAAUAGGCUGAGAAUAAUCUUAACUCUCUUGACAAUAUUUGUGCUUAACGAUUUCCAGUAUAUGCUUUAUUUUGUUUCCAAUUAUGAUGCAAUAAUAUGAAGUAUGGUCCUUAAGUGAGAAAUUUAGAUGGCAGUCCUUGUAGCUAAGAAAAUCAACACCUUUCUAUUUCAAAAUUAUGCAAAUUAAAUUUUAAGGUAAAUUAAAUACCCAGGAUACUAUUCUGCCUUCUCUCUGCUUUAUUCCAUGAACAAACCUUUAUUGACUAGGAAGUUAGUAACUUCUUUUUAAAGAGCUGUCUUAAUUCUUUGGCUCUAUUUUCUGGCUCGACAAUUUUCUAUGUCAGUAAGGGGAAAUCAUAGCAAAUAAAAUUAAUUUUAUUUGAGUUUAUAUUUUUUAA
rnacentral:lncRNA from 1 species